rnacentral:lncRNA from 1 species
UCAAUGUUCGGUCUUCAUCAUUCAUCAUUAGAGAACAUCAUCAUUCAUGAUAAGAGAACUACAAAGCCUCCCUUUCCUUUCUUUCCUCCCAUGACGAAGGGCAGAGAGCUUUGUAGCUGUCCCAGGGACAGAACGACAUCGUAUCAUGGGCUUGUUAUUAUUUUGUUUUUCUUCAAAUUAUGAAUUACUUUGUUCAUAGAUUAUAAAAGUAUAUAAGAUACAAAAAGGAAGUUGGGAUGAAGAAGAG